AGAGUUUGAUCCUGGCUCAGAAUCAACGCUGGCGGCGUGCCUCAGACAUGCAAGUCGAACGCGAAAGCCCCCUUCGGGGGGCAAGUAGAGUGGCGCACGGGUGAGUAACACGUAGGUAAUCUACCUUCGGAUGGGGAAUAACAACCGGAAACGGUUGCUAAUACCGCAUAAUGCAGCGGCACCUAAUGGUGACAGUUGUUAAAGCGGGGGAUCGAAAGACCUCGCGUCUGAAGAGGAGCCUGCGGCGGAUUAGCUAGUUGGUAAGGUAAUGGCUUACCAAGGCAACGAUCCGUAACCGGCCUGAGAGGGCGGUCGGUCACACUGACACUGACAUACGGGUCAGACUCCUACGGGAGGCAGCAGUCGGGAAUUUUGGGCAAUGGGCGAAAGCCUGACCCAGCAACGCCGCGUGAAGGAUGAAAUCCCUCGGGAUGUAAACUUCGCAAGAACGGGAAGAAUAAGUAAGAGCUAACAUCUCUUAUGAUGACGGUACUGUUUGUAAGCUCCGGCUAACUCCGUGCCAGCAGCCGCGGUAAUACGGGGGGAGCAAGCGUUGUUCGGAUUUACUGGGCGUAAAGGGCGCGUAGGCGGCCACCGCAAGUCGACUGUGAAAUCUCUGGGCUUAACCCAGAACGGUCAGCCGAUACUGCGGGGCUAGAGUGCAGAAGGGGCAACUGGAAUUCUCGGUGUAGCGGUGAAAUGCGUAGAUAUCGAGAGGAACACCUGCGGCGAAGGCGGGUUGCUGGGCUGACACUGACGCUGAGGCGCGAAAGCUAGGGGAGCGAACGGGAUUAGAUACCCCAGUAGUCC
rnacentral:rRNA from 1 species